GGGCUUGGGUCCUGAUCCAAAGCCCACUGAAGUGAAUGAGCAUCUUUCCAUUGACUUCAUUGGGCUUUGGAUCAGGCCCUUUCUUU
rnacentral:pre_miRNA from 1 species